rnacentral:rRNA from 1 species
AUUGAACGCUGGCGGCAUGCCUUACACAUGCAAGUCGAACGGAAGCACGGGGGCUUGUCCUUGGUUGAGCGUGGCGCACGGGAGUGUUACAUAUCAGAACAUGUCCUGUUGUGGGGUAUAGUCCGGCGAAAGGCGCUUAUAUCGCGCACAUGCUCUACGGAUGAGAGCGGGAGCUUUUGGGGUCUCGCUCUCUGGGGAUGGCAGGUCGCAUUAGCUAGUUGGUGGGGGAAAGGCCUACCAAGGCGACGAUCCGUGUCUGGGGUGAGAGGAGGAGCAGCCACACUGGAACUGAGACACGGCCCAGACUCCUACGGGAGGCAGCAGUGGGGAAUUUUGGACAAUGGGCGAAAGCCUGAUCCAGCAAUGCCGCGUGUGUGAAGAAGGCCUUCGGGUUGUAAAGCACUUUUGGCUGGAAAGAAAGCCUGUGCCCUAAUACGGUCGUGGGAUGACGGUACCGGAAGAAUAAGCACCGGCUAACUACGUG